rnacentral:rRNA from 1 species
GACGAACGCUGGCGGCGUGCCUAAUACAUGCAAGUCGAACGCAGUGGGGACGGGUGAGUAACACGUGGGUAACCUCCCAUCAGAGGGGGGAACACUUGGAAACAGGUGCUCAACCGAUACGGCAGGAGGAAACAGCGGUGCAUUGGCUAAUUGGUGAGGUAACGGCUCACCAAGGCCACGAUGCAUAGCCGACCUUAGAGUGUGAUCGGCCACCCUGGGACUGAUACACGGCCCAGACUCCUACGGGAGGCAGCAGUAGGGAAUCUUCGGCAAUGGACGAAAGCCUGACCGAGCAACGCCGCGUGAGUGAAGAAGGUUUUCGGAUCGUAAAACUCUGUUGUUAGAGAAGCGUUACCUACCCAGAAAGCCACGGCUAACUACGUGCCAGCAGCCGCGGUAAUAC